ACACACACACACACACUUUGACGCUGCUUUGUCUUCUCAGAGUCUUCAGAGCUUUUUUCACAUGGUGUCAUUCAGUCUGAACUACAGCCGCUCGUGUAACUUGAUGUUCUUCAGCUGGUUCUCACAUUAACAAACGAUGGACGAACUCUUCUGAACAUCUGGAUGAACAACUGAGUCACACUCACUUGUUUUAGAAUCUGCAGAUGAGCAGCAGCAUCACUGACGAGUCUUCGUUCUGCUGCUUCAGGUCACUUCAUCAUCUGUCGCUCGGGCUCCUCAGCUGUGAUAGAUGAAACAAUGGAACACAUGGAGCUUGUCCAGGUGAACUCAGACGUCAGCUCCUGGUGUCACUGUCCUGCUGGAAACACAUCCACACUCUGCUCAGCGACAGAACUUCUCUUCCUCCUGUUCAGAACCACAGCUACAGUCACUUCAUGUUUCAACCACAUCAGUUCACAGCCUCUGACACAGACUCCAGGUUUGUGUUUGACAUUAUGUUUUAGUUUCAGUCCACACACGUCAUAAUAAGUUGAUCUCAUGAGUUUUGAAUGAGUUGUGCUUCUGCUCAUCUUUCAUGUGUUGCAGGAUGGAUAGAAGGAAGAGGCUGACAACUUCCUGUAGUGAAACCUUCAGUGAAGCAGCCUGUGUGUGUUUUAUUUUUUUUUAAAUAAAAUAAAAAAUAUAAAAUAA